CAUCUUGAUCCCGAGGGCCGCAGCGCCUACCUUUCAUCCUGUUCGGGCAACCGGACUAUGGCGAUAAACGCGCCCGUAAUAAGCGGAUCGGACCCGGGGGCGGUACCCGGCGGCUCCACCAGACACCCUCGUUGGGGGACCAUGGGGCCGAAACAGGAUCGACGGACGUCUAAAGGGGAUAGCUUUCGCUCGGUGAGAUACCACCGUUAUCGGUUCACAAUGUACAGUUGCCAACGACAACCGUGCUCCGGUGGCGAUGGCCGCGUAAGCGGUCGGAACUACCGAAACUUUAAGCCCUUGCGCCUAGCAGCGUAAGGCGGGGUUCGCAGGCACCUGGCAACAGAAGCCUGCAUU
rnacentral:tmRNA from 1 species